CAGCUCGUGUCGUGAGAUGUUGGGUUAAGUCCCGCAACGAGCGCAACCCUUAUUACUAGUUGCCAUCAUUAAGUUGGGCACUCUAGUGAGACUGCCGGUGAUAAACCGGAGGAAGGUGGGGAUGACGUCAAAUCAUCAUGCCCCUUAUGACCUGGGCUACACACGUGCUACAAUGGAUGGUACAACGAGUCGCCAACCCGCGAGGGUGCGCUAAUCUCUUAAAACCAUUCUCAGUUCGGAUUGCAGGCUGCAACUCGCCUGCAUGAAGUCGGAAUCGCUAGUAAUCGCGGAUCAGCACGCCGCGGUGAAUACGUUCCCGGGCCUUGUACACACCGCC
rnacentral:rRNA from 1 species